AUCUCAUUCAGUCUGGUGUAUGAUUAACAGGACUGCAGGCUACACUGUUUGCAAAAUAUUUAUUGUUGCAUGAGCAAGAAAUACAUCAGAAGUUUCAGUUCUCAAGCUGAGGCUAUAAAAUCAACAUAUAGAAAACAUUUCCGUACUGCCCAUUCUCAGCUUGGUAAAAGCUGUUAAAAUAAAAGUUUUAAACCAAAUAAAUUAAUUCCAGUUAACUAUCCAGCUGAAUAAAAAAUACAGAUAAUUCAAAUGAAAAAUGCCACAUGAUUAUUAAAAGGUCUUUGCUUGUUUCUGAUAUUUACAAAGAUUUUUUUCCCCUUUGUCUCAUUUUUUGAAAGUACUUUUGAAUCCUCCUCCUUCUCUGUAAGGUUUAAAAAAGAAUAAAAAUGGUUUGGAGUAUAUAACCUAUAUCCCAUAACACAAUGAAUCCCCCCCACACACACACUGACUCACACUUCCAAACUACUCCAGAAAUCUCCCAUUCUCUGUAGGAGACUUGGGCGUGCAGAUAUUUGAAGAGUCAAAGAUGGGAUUCACACAUCCAUUAAGCCAUUGGUUGAUUUACCUUAUUUCGGCUUACUAUAUUCAUUGCUUCCAGAUACUGCUGUUUAGGAAUCAUACUUCACGAUUCAUUGUGACAGACAAAUCCAGCUGAUCUUGCAAUAACAACAACACCUGGCAAAGGCUAAGAGCAGGAAAGUUGAAGAAAGAGAGAGAGGGGCUAAUGCUGGCUGCACAUGACCAAGUCUUAAGAACAAAUGCAUACAAAGCCAGAAUUGAGAAGACAGCAACAGAUAGUAAGUGCCAGCUAUGCAAGAGGUUGAAGAAACAGUGGACCACUGGCUUAGUUGUUGCAAGAAGAUUGCACAGACUAACUACAAAGACUGACAUCACAAAAUAGCAACAAUGGUACAUUGAAAGAUCUGCAAUUUGCUUUCUUCUUGCCAGACUACCUUCAUCCAGAGGCAGAUGGAUACUUCAGGUAUUUCUCUUUGAUGACUGGUCCAUUCAGCUGGAUAGAUUCCACAUCAGAUCUGUUGCUACAAAGAGGGCUUUCAGACUUCCCCUUGUACUGCAAAGCGACAGUAACUUGAAGCGUAAGUUGAACAAGUCCCAACCUGCUGGCAACAGCUUCAUUGCCGUUUAUAUUCCAAACAAUAUUUUGGACCAAAAAAGUGCUUUCUAUAGCUAUUAGCAAAGAUCACAGGGUAAGUAUUUCAGCUGCACAAUUACAGUUCUUUGAAUAAACAGUCCCUUCUUCCCAUACUGUGGGUUUUUGGCUACUUCUAUUUUCAGGUAUAUAUUCAUGUACAGAUCUCACCAUUUUCUAAAAUCCCACUCAGUUCUUGCUUUAGGAAACUGGCUAUGGAGCUGGAUCUAGAAUUCCUUAUAUGUAAACUACAAAACUGUUGUAAACAGGACAACAAAUCCUUCGUGCUAUUCAAUCGCAAGGGAAAAUGAGAGGGAAAAAAAGUGACUCAUUCCCUGUAACUGGAUUAUAUGGUUUGGAACAAAUAUUCUCAAACCCAAAAUCUUAUAGUAACAUCUCCUAGAUCAGUGUUUCCCAAACUUAACAAUUUUAAGGCAUGUGGACUUCAACUCCCAGAAUUCCACAGCCAGCAAUGCUGGCUGUGGAAUUCUGGGAGUUGAAGUCCACAUGCCUUAAAAUUGUUAAGUUUGGGAAACACUGUCCUAGAUUAUAAAAGAAGCAUGGUGGCUCAUGAGGUUAGAAUGCUGGGCUACUGAUCAGCAGGCUCGCGUUCGAGACCCAUUGCUGCUGCAGGAAGGGAUGAGCUCUUGUCACACACUCCAGCUCCUGCUGCCCCAGCAGUUUGAAAGUGGGCGACCACGAGUAGAUUAAUGAUACUACUUCAGUGGGCAACUUCACGGGGAUAUGAAAGGAGACCCCAAAUGCGCAUCCCCUGGGCAAAUAUCACUGGCAAAUCCUUUUGCUAUGGAAGCACCAUGAGAAAAAAAAACUUGGACUCUGUGAAGGAAAUUAGUGCAAUGUUGUUAAGGCAUAUUGUAAUAUAUUAGGGUCAGAUUAAUUACUGUUUGUUGCUGAACCCAAAGUUUGACAUCAUAUAUAGUACAAAAUCACAACUGAUACCAUACAAGACACAAUGGGUGCGUUCACACAACACACUAAGCCAAUAUCAAACAAAUAACUGCUUAACAUGAUAUUAGCCAAUGUUACUUAUUCCUUUGUACUAUGAGCCUAUUCAGCUCAAAAUAGAUUAACACAAACAAAUUGUUAAUUCCGAUGUGAUUGGGUUGCAAUGGGACGAAGGAUGGGAAGACUGGAUGGUGAUCCAUAUACUUUUACACACACACACACGCACACACACACACCUUGCCACAACAAAAACAUAGUGAAAAUAAGAACAAUUAUUACAUCACAAUAUUAUUUCUACUGCACGGGUCCAUGGAUUUUAUAAACUAUUCAGCAGCAGCUACAAGCAAAAAGGUGCUUUUAAGCUAUGAGGGCCCCAAACAGAGUACACACUGUUCUCAUCUAUUUUUAUAAUUUUUGACAAGGCUUGGCCAGUUUCAGCUUGCUAUUCUUCUCAUACUUCCUAGUACUUUUCCACCUAAGUGCUAUCGCAUCAUCCAGUUCACAUGGAAACUGAGUGUUCUGCAGAUUUCACGUUUUGAGAACAGUCUCUUGUUCUGUAAACCAUUAUUGCUAAAUCUUCUUAAAAGUCUUCAUUCUAGUAUUUUUACACAUGCUGCAUAAACUGAAAUCUUCCAGAACAAGUCAUUCUGCCUCUACAUCCUACUCUGAAUGUAUCUCUGAUACAGGUUCAUUUCUACUUUCAUACAAAUACUUGACACAAAAUAUGCUCUCUCUCUUACAUAUACAUAUGUUUAUAAAUGAACCAAAACAGGUAUAAAACAUAUGCACAAUAACUAUAUGGUAAGGCUAAAUAAUAUGGUCACCAAGUAAAUUUGCUUCUGAGAUAUGACUGACUUUCACAUGUUCUGAACAACACUAAUGUCUUUCCAUUUUCAUAGCAUUUUCUGAAAAUUUAAAUCAGCAGUAGGUUGCAUCUCUUUUAUAAAUACUGUCUAUCCACUGCUCAAUUCCAUGUCCCCCCCCCCCAAAUCUAAGAAUUUGUAUCAUUAUCCCACUGCAAUUUGUAUACUCCCUGGGUAAUUCAGAGAUAUUAAACACAGGAGCAACAGAUGGCAGAAAUCUAUUUAGUAUGAAUAUAAUAAAAAUUCCUUUAACAUAGAUCCUUUUAAAAAUUACUCCAUUGCAGUCUCAUACACACAUCAAUACUUAUCAUAUAAUGCUAAGAAAUAAAUUGUGACAAAACACAAUGAACAAAUUCAUGCAAUGUGUUUAGCCAAACAAGCUAUUCUGUGGAUUUAUACAGUAUGUGAAUCAGAAGAUAUUCAUGAUAUACAUCCACAGUGUAUAUCAACAAGGAGCAGCAAAUUGGGUGGGAAAAACUUUAGUAUUGUGACUAGUUAGCUUUUUAAAGAGUUACUUCUUUAUAACAAUGUAUCUAUGUUAAAUAUACUGACUGUUUAAACAUGAUGUAUAAUUUUAAAUGGACAAAUCAGUUUUAAUAAAAUUGUGUUUUUCCCAUCUUGGUUUAAAUCAAGGGAGAAAAUCUAACUGUGUAUUUAAAUAAUAAUAUAUUUAAAUUCAGCUUUUUCAUCACAAGCAGAUCUGUUCCAUUUGACUUCAUUAACCAAACACAUCUAAUGCUGCUCACAAAAACUUAUUAUCUCCACAUGUGGCCUCUUUAUGAUUAUUGGAAUAUCAAACUUUUUUUUAAGAAACUGAAGAAUGGAUGAAAGUAAUCACUCCAACAUACAUCACAAAAAGCAGCUUGUUCAAUAGCGUGCUGUCAAGUGGAAACUGAAAUAAUUUCAAACAUUAUGUUAUUCAGGGCCUCAUGAACAGUAAAUAUAUAUAUAUAAUUAAAGCAUUGCCAGCAGCAACUGAUUAAAAGAAAAUGACAAGUGUAUUCACAUUUCUCACUACCUUCCACUCAUGUAUGCCAAAUAAUUAAAUCACACUAAUUUUCAAAGAGGUAAAUAUGGGAAAAAAGAGCUAUCUUUAACAAUGAAUUAUAGAUUUGGGAAAGAUUUUGAACAAACGACUUUCUACUUGUAACCUGAAUAAGGGAGAAAUGAAUGAACUCUUAUAUAUCAUGUUAUAAAUAAGCAAUCAAUUAUAUAGCUCCUUGUUUGUACCUAAAGGAAGCUGCUUUUUAGUUUGCAAUCUUUUUUUAUUAACCCCAACCCCUGACUCCCAGAAUGAGAUGAAUGCUCAAUUUAGAUUGUAGCAUAAAUUCUUCUUUAUUAAAAAGAAACAGUCCUUGCCCUUAUUUUGUUAAGUGAGAAUCACCCUUUAUAUGAGGUCUGAUGUUCUAACAACUCUAAACUGAAAUAAAUCAUGGCUGUUUCAGACUUUCAUAAAGACAUUUCAUCUCAAGUUUUCUACCAAAUUAAGAAUUUAUGGUGGUUUUACUAGCACUGUGGAACAUUAUUAAUGAACCAUUUAGGCUUUCUAAGGUUUGAGAUAAAAACCAGCCAUUUGAAGUUCUAUAGAGAAUCUCCUCAAAAAAAUCUGCAACUGGUCCAUGCUUUCAAUGACCAUUUGAACUUACAGCGGUACUGAAUGAGUGAUAUUUACAACCAGUCCAAUUGUUGUCAUAUUGUACUUAUUGCCAAUGUAGCAUCUCCAAGGUCAUGCAAUUACAUUUCAGGUGCUUGGCAACUGGUUCACAAUUACAAUAAAACAGCAUCCUGCAUUCAUGUGACUGUCAUUUGGGACCUUCUUGCUGGCAUGAUCGUAUGACUUUGCGCAUUAUGACUGACUUCCUUAGUGUCGAAAUUCUGAUCCCAAUUACUAUUGUUAAGCGAGGACUGCCUGUAAUAAGUCCAAAUCUCUCUUUUGGUAAUUAUUUAUUGGGUAACUCCAGCUUAUUGACUCAAUGCCAAAACAACUUUGCUAAGAUGGGGCAAUUAUUUAAGGCAAAGGUGGAUCAUCUUUUGGUGACUGAAAGCUUUGAGGGAUUAAAAAAAAGCUACAAUGCAAAGAGGGCAAAGGCAAUUUUCUCUUGGGGAAGAAGGGAUCAGGAAAGCUGAUUAAACAAACACUCUCAAAUUUACACAGAAGUUAGAUGUUCCAUCUCAACACAGCAGAAGAUCAUACCACUGAUUUUUAAUCAGAAGUGGCUGUGGAGGUUAUAAAAUAGGAUUAUCCCUGCUCCUAAGUUAAAGUCUGUUGCAAAUGGACAAGAUAUUGAAAUGUUUUUCUAACUGUUUCCGAGACUAUCGGCAUCAAAUCUGAAAACACUAUGAAAAGAAGACUUCAGUAAGAAACAAAGUUUCACCCUAUGUCCUAGGUGACCAGUUAGAUCAAAUAAAGAAAAACCAUAAAUGAUCCCACAAUUUUGGGAGGUCUGAGAGGCACUGCUUUUCUGGGUCAGGGUUAGCACUAUGGAACAGACUCCUCCCUGCUGAUAUUUUGGAGGUUUCUAAGGACAGAGUUAUUGUGGAGAACCUUCUCUUGAUCUUGUCAUGCCACCUUCAUUUUCUAUUUUCAUUGUUUGCAAUUUUCUAUUUGGGUGAUAUUGUUUUACUCUUUAGAGUUGGUAAGUUUUGCUUGAUAUUUUUUAUACUCUAUGUAGGCUGAAGAGU